rnacentral:rRNA from 1 species
GAUCCUGGCUCAGGACGAACGCUGGCGGCGUGCCUAAUACAUGCAAGUAGAACGCUGAAGGAGGAGCUUGCUCUUCUGGAUGAGUUGCGAACGGGUGAGUAACGCGUAGGUAACCUGCCUGGUAGCGGGGGAUAACUAUUGGAAACGAUAGCUAAUACCGCAUAAGAGUAGAUAUCGCAUGAUAGCUGCUUGAAAGGUGCAAUUGCACCACUACCAGAUGG